AGGAUGAACGCUGGCGGUGUGCCUAAUACAUGCAAGUCGAACGAGACCUUCGGGUCGAGUGGCGGACGGGUGAGUAACACGUUGGUACCUACCCCGAAGUGGGGAAUAACUGCCCGAAAGGGUGGCUAAUACCGCAUAAUACCGCAAGGUUAAAGCGAGUAAUCGCGCUUCGGGAGGGGCCUGCGUCCCAUUAGCUAGUUGGUAGGGUAAUGGCCUACCAAGGCGACGAUGGGUAGCUGGAUCGAGAGGUUGACCAGCCACACUGGGACUGAGAUACGGCCCAGACUCCUACGGGAGGCAGCAGUAAGGAAUCUUCCACAAUGGACGAAAGUCUGAUGGAGCAACACCGCGUGCAGGAUGACGGUCUUCGGAUUGUAAACUGUCUUUUAUAUGGAAGAUUAUGACGGUACCAUAUGAAUAAGGACCGCUAACUACGCGCCAGCAGCCGC
rnacentral:rRNA from 1 species